rnacentral:rRNA from 1 species
GUCUGCGGCCAUACCACCCUGAACGCGCCCAAUCUCGUCUGAUCUUGGAAGCUAAGCAGGGUCAGGCCUGGUUAGUACUUCGAUGUGAGACCACCUGGGAAUACUGGGUGCUGUAGGCU